CAAUAGCGUAUAUUAAAGUUGUUGCAGUUAAAAAGCUCGUAGUUGGAUUUCGGGGUGGCCUGGCUGGUCCGCCGCAAGGUGAGUACUGGUCAGCCGCCCUUCCUCUCGAAAGCCCCGACUGCUCUUUACUGCAGUGGUCGGGUAGUUCGGGACGUUUACUUUGAAAAAAUUAGAGUGUUCAAGGCAGGCUAUCGCCUGAAUACAUUAGCAUGGAAUAAUGGAAGAGGACCUCGGUCCUAUUUUGUUGGUUUCUAGGGCCGAAGUAAUGAUUAAGAGGGACAGUUGGGGGCAUUCGUAUUUAAUUGUCAGAGGUGAAAUUCUUGGAUUUAUGAAAGACGAACUAGUGCGAAAGUAUUUGCCAAGGAUGUUUUCAUUAA
rnacentral:rRNA from 1 species